ACACCAGCUGCAUCCCCCCGCCGCGCCCCACGCUGGAGAAGCACCUGCAGGCAGGAGGGACAGCUGGGUGGGCACCGGCCCGAGUGCGGAGGAGCAGCCCCAGGCCCCGGCCCCAAGCCCCGGGCCUGGGAUGGUGAAGAGCAGGUGGGGAGCCCCGUCCCCGGGUGCAGCUCCCCCACCGGUUCCUUUGCUGCCUGGCCUCCUGUGAAAUGGGUGUCAUGGAACCCCGUUACCAGCCUGGGCUGCAGGGAGAAGGGGACAAACCUGACGCACGUGAAGUGUUCAAACUCGGCAAACGCCGCCAGGAUGACCCCCCGGCUGUGCUCAUCUGGGGAGGAGACCCCCAGCCAAGCGGAGCUUCAGACGCACGCCCCCAAAUGGAGGGUCACGAAAGGACAGUGAAGAGUGCUGGGGAGGGAGGCUGGGGCUGGGGGCUGAGGUCUGCCGCCCAGUUGAGACGUGUCCUUAGCCGUGAGGGGUGUGAGCCCCUGUAAAGGGUCCUCUUGACGAUGCCACUUUAGGUCACGUGUGGCCCGAGUGAACGGGGGUGGCCAUGGCCCAGAUCCCUGGAGGCCUUGCGGAGAGAAAGCCACGGGGGUGCCUGAAGCCCGAAGCCAGUGGGAGCCCGGAGGAGAAAGGAGGGGACGUCAGCACGUCAUGGAAGGGGACCUCGACAACGUCACCAGUCUUGGGCCACCUGCUGCUCUCAGCUGACAACAGCCGGAAGGGACUCUGAGGGUGCGAGAGGACUUGCAAUUUAUUCCAUCAAGCAGAAGAAGUCUGAGAAAUUCCCGUCCCUGAAGAGGCGGACUAGGGGCCCCAGCCCCCCACCCCUGAGCUCCAGCAGCUCCUGAGCCUUCGUGAACGUGAGGUGGAAAGAGGAGGGUGACUGGGUCCUGUUGGGGUGAUGCAGCACCCCUGGUCCCACAGUGCGGGACACUGAUUACGUGCUUCAACUUGGCGGGCCUGGGCUGGGGGACCUAAUCAGCCCCUGGGGAGGGUGGUGGGCACGGGCGACAGCGCCCUCCGCAGCCCCCCGGGCCUGGG